AGCUCUUAGAAGCUUACCCUAUUCCUUUACCUCAUAUGCAAAAUUGCAGGGAUAAAGGUGUCUUCAAGGAGAGCUAUCAACAGGAGAAGCUUUAGCAAGUUUUAUGUGUGUUGAGUUUAUAGAAUAGACAUAUAAAUUAUAAUGGUUAGACGUUGUGCUUGGUUGUAAAGAAUUGUAUUAUGUAUUAUUUAAGUUAGGAUAUGCAUGUAUAUUUACCUUAACCUAUAAGCACACUCAUUAAUGUUUCACAAAUGUAUGAAAG
rnacentral:misc_RNA from 1 species